rnacentral:rRNA from 1 species
UACAGAGGUCCCCAAGCGUUAAUCGGAAUCACUGGGCUUAAAGAGUGCGUAGGCUGGCCCGUAAGUGCCUUGUGAAAUCCCUUGGCUCAACCAAGGAAUGGCUUGGUAGACUGCGGGUCUUGAGGUCGGCAGAGGCUGUCGGAACUCUAGGUGGAGCGGUGAAAUGCGUAGAUAUCUAGAGGAACGCCCAAGGCGAAGGCAGACAGCUGGGCCGAUUCUGACGCUCA